AGAGUUUGAUUCUGGCUCAGAACGAACGCUGGCGGCAUGCCUAACACAUGCAAGUCGAACGAAGCCUUCGGGCUUAGUGGCGCACGGGUGCGUAACACGUGGGAAUCUGCCCUUCGGUUCGGAAUAACAGUUAGAAAUGACUGCUAAUACCGGAUGAUGACGUAAGUCCAAAGAUUUAUCGCCGAAGGAUGAGCCCGCGUAGGACUAGGUAGUUGGUAGGGUAAUGGCCUACCAAGCCGACGAUCCUUAGCUGGUCUGAGAGGAUGAUCAGCCACACUGGGACUGAGACACGGCCCAGACUCCUACGGGAGGCAGCAGUGGGGAAUAUUGGACAAUGGGCGAAAGCCUGAUCCAGCAAUGCCGCGUGAGUGAUGAAGGCCUUAGGGUUAUAAAGCUCUUUUACCAGGGAUGAUAAUGACAGUACCUGGAGAAUAAGCUCCGGCUAACUCCGUG
rnacentral:rRNA from 1 species